rnacentral:rRNA from 1 species
CCUACGGGAGGCAGCAGUGGGGAAUAUUGCGCAAUGGGCGAAAGCCUGACGCAGCGACGCCGCGUGAGGGAUGAAGGUCUUCGGAUCGUAAACCUCUGUCAGCAGGGAAGAACGGUCACUGUGCUAAUCAGCAAUGAAUUGACGGUACCGUCAAAGGAACCACCGGCUAACUCCGUGCCAGCAGCCGCGGUAAUCCGGAGGGGGCGACCGGUAGUCGGAAUUACUGGGCGUAAAGCGCCCGUAGGAGGUAUGUCAAGUCAAGGGUGAAAUCCCCGCCCUCAACGUUGGAACUGCCUGUGAAACGGGCAAACUGGAGUGUGUGAGAGGAUAGUGGAAUGCCAGGUGUAGGAGUGAAAUCCGUAGAUAUCUGGAGGAACAUUAGUGGCGAAGGCGACUAUCUGGCACAUAACUGACGCUGAGGAGCGAAAGCGUGGGUAGCAAACAGGAUUAGAUACCCGAGUAGUC